rnacentral:rRNA from 1 species
UACGUAGGGUGCAAGCGUUGUCCGGAAUUAUUGGGCGUAAAGAGCUCGUAGGCGGUUUGUCGCGUCUGCUGUGAAAACUCGGGGCUUAACCCCGGGCCUGCAGUGGGUACGGGCAGACUAGAGUGUGGUAGGGGAGACUGGAAUUCCUGGUGUAGCGGUGAAAUGCGCAGAUAUCAGGAGGAACACCGAUGGCGAAGGCAGGUCUCUGGGCCACUACUGACGCUGAGAAGCGAAAGCAUGGGGAACGAACAGG